UGAACAUGUUUUUUCAUUUGCACAGAUUAUUAAAGACCAAAAGAAAACUUUCUUGGAGACAACAACUGGCCGUGGGGUGAAGAGGUUUUGGAAAGAAAACCCUGAAGUUUUGCAGAUUUUGAAGGACACCAAAGAAAACUUUGGCAAAAACACCAACAAGAAUGGGUGGAAAAGAGUACGGGAGGAAUUGAAGAUUAUCAACGACAACAGGCAGACGUUUGUUUCAUCAACAACAAAGAAUGCAAUCAAAAGAAUUCGUGAAGAACUGCAGAAAGGACCUUCAAAAACAGAAGGAUUUCCUGGAACGUCAGCAUCAAAUGCUUGAUAGAAAGACCUGGAGGAAGGAACAAGGUUUGAAGAAAAGACAGAGAAGUUGCUGAAUGCAAUAAGACAAAAAAAUAAAAAAAGAGUAGAAGAGUUGAG